UUCUGAACUAAGCACCCCAGUUACUUUGCUUGUUUUGUUCUCUCUCUGUCUGAAAACAGGGAGAAAAGAGUUCCGAGUCCCUGAGUUGCUUAAACUGGGAGACAAAACAUUAUGAAAGCUUUAGCUGUGUUCCCUCCAAAUGUUUCUAGAAGUAACAACCAGACAGAAACAAAAGCCAUUCCCGUUGGUGUGUUGGUAUUCCCCGGUGACUGAGGCUUUGAACAUAAAAGUUUUAUUAAAAUAUAUAUCAUGAAAGAAAAGAGAAACAGUUGUACUUUUUCAAGAAGAAGGUAUUUUCCCCCCAUACACAGGACCAUGGGUCCUUUUUAUCAUAGAGAUGACUUAGCUCCUGGGACAUGUGUGUGGAUUAUCACCACAAUUUCAGUAUCAAGACUCCACCAGCAGAAAUUCAAUAAAAAGAUUAUUAAGAACUUGUGGUAGUUUGGAUGAGAAAUGUUCCUCAUGUGUAUCUGAAUACUUGGCCCAGUUGGUAGCAUUGUUUGGGAGGUAAGGGAACUUUCAGGACAUGAAGCCUUGCUGGAAGAAGUUAUCACUCAGGCGAUGAACUUUGAGGUACGUUGUCUGGCUAUUCUUCCAGUCUGCUUUGUCUGUU
rnacentral:lncRNA from 1 species